GGGUGCGAUAAUACCAGCACUAAUGAACUGGAUCCCAUCAGAACUCUGCAGUUAAGAGUGAUUGGGCAAGAGUAGUACUAGGAUGGGUGACCUUUUGGGAAGUCCUCGUGUUGCACCCC
rnacentral:rRNA from 1 species